rnacentral:sRNA from 1 species
GAGACGCAGACAACGAGACGAGCUGCCUCUCUGCGUCUCCCUCUCUCU